rnacentral:snoRNA from 1 species
GGUCCGUGAUGGCUGUUGGCAUGUAUUAUCUGAGCAUCGAUCUGAAGAUGGAUCAGUUUAGCUCUAGAAUUGCUCUGAGACCUG